AAAUUGAAGAGUUUGAUCAUGGCUCAGAUUGAACGCUGGCGGCAGGCCUAACACAUGCAAGUCGAACGGUAACAGGAAGCAGCUUGCUGCUUUGCUGACGAGUGGCGGACGGGUGAGUAAUGUCUGGGAAACUGCCUGAUGGAGGGGGAUAACUACUGGAAACGGUAGCUAAUACCGCAUAACGUCGCAAGACCAAAGAGGGGGACCUUCGGGCCUCUUGCCAUCGGAUGUGCCCAGAUGGGAUUAGCUUGUUGGUGGGGUAACGGCUCACCAAGGCGACGAUCCCUAGCUGGUCUGAGAGGAUAACCAGCCACACUGGAACUGAGACACGGUCCAGACUCCUACGGGAGGCAGCAGUGGGGAAUAUUGCACAAUGGGCGCAAGCCUGAUGCAGCCAUGCCGCGUGUAUGAAGAAGGCCUUCGGGUUGUAAAGUACUUUCAGCGGGGAGGAAGGGAGUAAAGUUAAUACCUUU
rnacentral:rRNA from 1 species